AUUGAACGCUAGCGGGAUGCUUUACACAUGCAAGUCGAACGAGUGGCGGACGGGUGAGUAAUAUAUCGGAACGUGCCCAAUAGAGGGGGAUACCUACUCGAAAGAGUGGCUACUACAGCAUACUAUUGGAGCGGCCGUUAUCGGAUUAGCUCGUUGGUGGGGUAAAGGCUCACCAAGGCAACGAUCCGUAGCUGGUUUGAGAGGACGCCCAGCCACACUGGGACUGAGACACGGCCCAGACUCCUACGGUAGGAAGCAGUGGGGAAUGUUGGACAAUGGGUGAAACCCUGAUCCAGCCAUCCCGCGUGUAUGAGAAGGCCUUCGGGUUGUAAAGUACUUUUGUCAGAGAAGCGGUAUCUGCAGAAUAAGCACCGGCGAACUACGUGCCAGCAGCCGCGGUAAUUC
rnacentral:rRNA from 1 species